UUUGCGAAACAAAAAUUGAAGAGUAUAAAAAACCAUGCCUUCAGUUAGAAUCAAUACAAGAGUUUCAGUAUCUAUGUUACAACGGUGAGAGUACAUAAAUAUGUGAAUGUGUAAGAAAUACGGCAAACGACGAGAAAAGAAUACGAAGAUGUUAUCCCGAACUAAAAGCGUUCGAAAACAAGAUACAUUAAUCUAUAGGAUCGUCUCCCGUAUGACUUGCACCUUGGGCUAAAAGCUAAAGAAUAAAAUCUAGUAUGGCUUGCACUUUGGGCCCGUUCCACGACCCGUGGCCGUACAGCCUUCGACUCCAGGCAGCGAGCACGAAGGCCUGAGGCAGCGAGCCCGUCGCGGCGAGAGCAACGUGGCAGACAAGCCAUUCCCUCACCUACAAGAUAAAAACAACCUUUAGUUACUAAAGAACAAAAGAAAUUAAAAGAAACUUACCAUGAGGAAGGAGACAACCUCUCUUUAGUUGGAAGACCAAAGACUUACACAAAAGGGGCAAGUCAAUCCUGCAAAUCCAUGCUUAUGUACCAGCCACAAACGAACAAGAAGAAAUAAAUGCAAAGUGCAUAGUACUACAAAUAACACCAAAAUUCUUAAGUAAAAGUGCUGCAGGGAGGAUCAAACAAGGGGAUAUGCUGCGUAUGAAAACAAAUGAGGAUCUGUCCCAUAAAUUCCUCCCAAAUACACCAAAGUUUGCCUAUAAGAACCCCCCUCAUAUGCAUUAAACCCCUACCUCCCACACACAUCGAAAUCCAGCAAAUAUAGAGAGAGUUAGAGAGGGAGUUUCUAGGUGAAAGGGGCAGAGAGUGGAGCUAGGUAGCAAGAGUUUUCCAAGUUCUUUUCAAACUCAGCUUUUUCAUCAGGAGCGUCUACACACGGCGUUUAGGAUUAAAUCAAGGGAACUUUAUGGCUAAGGAAAAGCUCUGAGGUUGAACGUGAACGAGGAGGCGAAGGUGUUGGGAAAUGACUAUUAAUAAGUAAUUAGUCUCCCCUUCGAAACUAUUACCUCGAGUUGAUUUACUGCUCUUAUGUUUACUUAAUGAUUGAUGAGAGUAUUUUUAGUCGCGAAAUAGCUACGCUCACUAGUACUAGGGAGAUGUGGUCGUGACAGGGCGAGAUAAACCCAUGGUCCAUGGACCAUUUUUAUAGUUCACUCUAAAUAUAAAUACCAACAUUAUAUUUAACCAGUCGUGAUCAUUAUUGACCAAAAAGGACUUUGGCGGUUCGAUUGUUACAAACUCUACAUGCAAGUGUUUUGGAAGUAGUUCUACUAUCAGCAUGGUAAAUAACACGAAUAGAUUUUACAUA